rnacentral:rRNA from 1 species
AGCAGCCGCGGUAAUUCCAGCUCCAAUAGCGUAUAUUAAAGUUGUUGCAGUUAAAAAGCUCGUAGUUGAACUUCGGGAUUCACCCAUUGGUCAGGCUUAAUUGUCUGUACUGGUGAGAUGAGUCUCUACCUUCUGAGGAACUUUCAUGCCAUUUGUUUGGUGUGAUUGGAAAUCAGGACUGUUACUUUGAAAAAAUUAGAGUGUUUAAAGCAGGCUAACGUCUGAAUACAUUAGCAUGGAAUAAUGAAAUAGGACGGAUUGAUUCUAUUUCGUUGGUUUCUAGGGUCACCGUAAUGAUUAAUAGGGAUAGUUGGGGGCAUUAGUAUUCAAUUGUCAGAGGUGAAAUUCUUGGAUUUAUUGAAGACUAACUACUGCGAAAGCAUUUGCCAAGGAUGUUUUCAUUAAUCAAGAACGAAAGUUAGGGGAUCGAAGACGAUCAGAUACCGUCGUAGUCUUGACCAUAAACUAUGCCGACUAGGGAUCGGACGCAGUUAAUUUUAUAAUGACGU